rnacentral:rRNA from 1 species
UGCCCAGACUCCUACGGGAGGCAGCAGUGAGGAAUAUUGGUCAAUGGCCGGGAGGCUGAACCAACCAAGUCGCGUGAGGGAAGACGGCCCUACGGGUUGUAAACCUCUUUUGUCAGGGAGCAAGGUGCAGGUCGGGACCUGCUGUGAGAGUACCUGAAGAAAAAGCAUCGGCUAACUCCGUGCCAGCAGCCGCGGUAAUACGGAGGAUGCGAGCGUUAUCCGGAUUUAUUGGGUUUAAAGGGUGCGUAGGCGGACAGUCAAGUCAGCGGUAAAAAUGCGGUGCUCAACGCCGUACAGCCGUUGAAACUGGCAGUCUUGAGUGGGCGAGAAGUAUGCGGAAUGCGUGGUGUAGCGGUGAAAUGCAUAGAUAUCACGCAGAACUCCGAUUGCGAAGGCAGCAUACCGGCGCCCGACUGACGCUGAGGCACGAAAGCGUGGGUAUCGAACAGGAUUAGAUACCCUGGUA